UUCUUUCUUCAAAAAUCAGUUUACUUAUAACUUCUGCUAAAUUUUAGUUUCUUUUCCAUACGUCAAAAUGGGUUUGAUAUGUCUCAUAAGAAGAUGGAAUGACCAUACAAAUCUUAAUGCUUUAUGCUUAGCAUCAAUUUUAACUCCAACAGUCUCCAAUUAAAAAACAAUCACACAGUGAGCACUCAUUAUGAUUAAUAAAUGAUUUCACGAAAUGAAAAAAAUUUACAAUCAUAUAGAAUUUUACCAAUUUUUUUUCUCCAUAGAGUCAAAAUCCCAACACUAUUAGCCCAUGGCAUACUUCUGAGUCCAACUCCUUGCGAUGGCUUCGUACUUCUUCUUGUCUGUCUCUCACAUGUAAGCAAUCUCAGGCACCAAAGGAUCAUCAGUGACUGGAUCCGCGAACAAAGCAGAAAUUAUAAGUAAUACAUAAAAUUGGAAAACCAAUCAAUUCAACUCCAUUAGAAAGUUGAGCUUGAAUUACUGAGCCAUUGCAACUGAAGGAGCAAUUUAUUCAGUUUAGACAAAAAAAUAUCAUCUUUAGGGAUAUUAGAUCCCUUAUCUUAGCUACCGGAUCAACAAGUUUGUGGCAUCUUUUAAUCUCUACACUAGAAGAUUCCUUCCAGAUGACGUUAAAAAUUACAUCAGAAAAAAAAAUAAAAAAAAUCAGUGAAGAUUGAGAGGGAGAGAUGUAAAUGAAGAUUAGUCGUAGUGGAAGACUACAGUGCAAUUAGGGCUGUCAAUAGAUUGAAUUUUAAUUCGAAUCCGAUGAAAUUAAUGGGAGAUGGAUUUAGGAUUUUAGUCUGAUAAUCCG
rnacentral:lncRNA from 1 species